UACGGGGGGGGCAAGCGUUGUCCGGAAUUAUUGGGCGUAAAGAGCUCGUAGGCGGUUUGUCGCGUCUGCUGUGAAAACUCGGGGCUUAACCCCGGGCCUGCAGUGGGUACGGGCAGACUAGAGUGCGGUAGGGGAGACUGGAAUUCCUGGUGGUAGCGGUGAAAUGCGCAGAUAUCAGGAGGAACACCGGUGGCGAAGGCGGGUCUCUGGGCCGUAACUGACGCUGAGGAGCGAAAGCGUGGGGAGCGAACAGG
rnacentral:rRNA from 1 species